AAAAUACUCCCUCCGUCCGAAAAUACUUGUCCAAAAAAUGAAUAAAAUGGAUGUGUCUAGAACUAAAAUACGUCUAGAUACAUUCAUUCCUCUGACAAGUACUUCCGGACGGAGGGAGUACAUA
rfam:Triticum aestivum genome assembly, contig: Triticum_aestivum_CS42_TGACv1_scaffold_640691_T_6BS-0.211008_1BL-0.180192